CAGUCGUACCGACGAGAAAUCAACUUAUCGUGUGCGAACUUGUGGGCGUGCGUGAGUUUCGGCCUCGCUGUUUGCAUGUUUGUGCGCUUUGGGUGUACUUUUUCGUAUGGUAGGCCAACGUCAGUUUCGAUUAUCAUAAAAUGACCGGCGGAAUGUAGCUUCGAUUUCGGUUGAAGUGUUAUAGCCUCUGGUAGAUGUGGUGAUUGGGACUGAGGAUUGCAACGAAUACCCUUUGGGCUAUCCGUCUGGCCUCUGAAAGUUGCUUGGGUGCUGAAAGCUUGCUUAUGGUUAUCUAAGUUAACGGUCAAUAGGUUAGAACGUGAUUACAUUCGUUAAGGAUGUUGGCGUAAUGGCUUUAAACGA
rnacentral:rRNA from 1 species